rnacentral:rRNA from 1 species
GACGAACCGAGCGAACGUUGUUCGGAAUCACUGGGCUUAAAGGGCGCGUAGGCGGGCUGUCAAGUCUGGGGUGAAAUCCCACGGCUCAACCGUGGAACUGCCUUAGAUACUGACGGCCUCGAGGGAGAUAGGGGCGAGCGGAACUGUGAGUGGAGCGGUGAAAAUGCGUUGAUAUUCACAGGAACUCCGGUGGCGAAGGCGGCUCGCUGGAUCUUUCUGACGCUGAGGCGCGAAAGCUAGGGGAGCAAACGGG